rnacentral:rRNA from 1 species
UACGAAGGGGGCUAGCGUUGCUCGGAAUCACUGGGCGUAAAGGGCGCGUAGGUGGCGUCGCAAGUCAACGGUGAAAGCUCGGCGCUCAACGCCGAGUCGGCCGUCGAAACUGCGAGGCUGGAGCACUGUAGAGGCAGAUGGAAUUCCGGGUGUAGCGGUGGAAUGCGUAGAGAUCCGGAAGAACACCGGUGGCGAAGGCGGUCUGCUGGGCAGGUGCUGACACUGAGGCGCGACAGCGUGGGGAGCAAACAGG